rnacentral:tRNA from 1 species
UCCCUGGUGGCUCAGUGGGUUAAGAGUCCAGCAUUGUCACUGCUGUGGUGAGAGUUCAAUCCCUGGCCCGGGAA